rnacentral:rRNA from 1 species
UACGUAGGUGACAAGCGUUGUCCGGAUUCAUUGGGCGUAAAGCGCUCGUAGGCGGUCCGUUGCGUCGUGCGUGAAAGACCCCGGCUCAACUGGGGAGUGUCGUGCGAUACGGGCGGACUGGAGGCCAGUAGGGGGAUGCGGAAUUCCGGGUGUAGUGGUGGAAUGCGUAGAGAUCCGGAGGAACACCAGCGGCGAAGGCGGCAUCCUGGACUGGUCCUGACACUCAGGAGCGAAAGCGUGGGGAGCGAUCCGG